rnacentral:tRNA from 1 species
GGCAGUGUUGCUUAGUAGACAGCACUGGACUGGGAUUCAAAAGACCUGGGUUCUGUUCCUGGCUCUGCCA